GCGUCGAGUGGCGGACGGGUGAGUAACGCGUAGGAAUCUACCAAAUAGCGGGGGAUAGCCCGGAGAAAUCCGGAUUAAUACCGCAUAAUCUCUACGGAGUAAAGGAGGCCUCUAUUUAUAAGCUUUCACUAUUUGAUGAGCCUGCGUAAGAUUAGCUUGUUGAUGAGGUAAAAGCUCACCAAGGCGACGAUCUUUAGCUGGUCUGAGAGGGUGAUCAGCCACACUGGGACUGAGACACGGCCCAGACUCC
rnacentral:rRNA from 1 species